rnacentral:rRNA from 1 species
UGGGGGAUAUUGCACAAUGGGCGCAAGCCUGAUGCAGCGACGCCGCGUGGGGGAUGAAGGCCUUCGGGUUGUAAACUUCUUUUGCUCUGAACAAGGCGCACUUUGGGGUGUGUUGAGUGUUGGAGUUGAUUAGCGCCGGCUAACUACGUGCCAGCAGCCGCGGUAAUACGUAGGGCGCGAGCGUUGUCCGGAAUUAUUGGGCGUAAAGGGCUUGUAGGUGGCUGGUUGCGUCUGUCGUGAAAGCUCAUGGCUUAACUGUGGGUUUGCGGUGGGUACGGGCUGGCUUGAGUGCGGUAGGGGAGGCUGGAAUUCCUGGUGUAGCGGUGGAAUGCGCAGAUAUCAGGAGGAAUACCGGUGGCGAAGGCGGGUCUCUGGGCUGUUACUGACACUGAGGAGCGAAAGCAUGGGGAGCGAACAGG